AUUGAACGCUGGCGGCAGGCCUAACACAUGCAAGUCGAGCGGAUGAAGAGAGCUUGCUCUCUGAUUUAGCGGCGGACGUGUGAGUAAUGCCUAGGAAUCUGCCUGAUAGUGGGGGAUAACGUUCCGAAAGGAACGCUAAUACCGCAUACGUCCUACGGGAGAAAGCAGGGGACCUUCGGGCCUUGCGCUAUCAGAUGAGCCUAGGUCGGAUUAGCUAGUUGGUGAGGUAAUGGCUCACCAAGGCUACGAUCCGUAACUGGUCUGAGAGGAUGAUCAGUCACACUGGAACUGAGACACGGUCCAGACUCCUACGGGAGGCAGCAGUGGGGAAUAUUGGACAAUGGGCGAAAGCCUGAUCCAGCCAUGCCGCGUGUGUGAAGAAGGUCUUCGGAUUGUAAAGCACUUUAAGUUGGGAGGAAGGGCAGUAAGUUAAUACCUUGCUGUUUUGACGUUACCGACAGAAUAAGCACCGGCUAACUUCGUGCCAGCAGCCGCGGUAAUAC
rnacentral:rRNA from 1 species